CAUAUGAAAUACCCAACGAAAAGAGAAAAGGGAAAAUGAGAGAAUGGUGAAGCAGCUACCAGAGAGUUCUUCAGGAGGAAAGAUGAGUGGAGGAAGCAUCCUAGGUUCAGCAAUUAGCCCAGCCAUGCCCUUCUCGGUUUUGGCCUUGGAGUCCCAUCAUCGACGUCUACCUGAUUGGCGAGCAGAUCUACAGCAAACUCUUUGGUCCUUCCUCCUCCUCCUCUUCUAGGUCUACUUUUAAUGGUGUGGUCUUUCCUGGGUUUUUCAAGAAAUCUUCAAAAUGGAAAAAUACAAUUAGAAUUCUAUCGUCGAAACCCUUGGUUUUUGUCAUAGGGACUUGCCAAAUGGAAGUUUAUUUUGGAAGCCACAGUAGGAGGAAUCAUCCAUGGUGAAGUAUUCAAAAGGGCCUAAUUCUACCAACUGAUUGCUACAUUGACAUCUGCUCCCCAGAGGUUCUAAUCAUUUUUACUGACAAUUUUGAUUACCAACAUCUAUGGUGCCAUUUUGUCAAGGGAUUGCUUGUUGAUGAUUGUCUUUAUGAGUCUUUGGAGGAAGAAUCUGGAUAUUUUCAGUUUGCUAUGGCAAUAACAUCGAAUCAUAUUGAUGAAAUAUAGAAGUUUCUUGAUGCUGCUGUUGAUACAAGAGAAGCUCUUGGUGUAGCAAGAGUUGUAGCUGCAAUGAUUGGUUUAUCUAUAAUUCUUUUGUUAGGAGUCCUUGAUUGGGAUGAUUGCUUAAGUGAGAUAUUAGCAUGGGAUACCUUGGCUUGGUUUGUUGUUCUAGAGUGGGCAUGGCCAGGCAACUGACAAAUCUUGGUACUGUAACCUGGAUGUCUAGCUGUGUUGCCAAGUCACUUCAGUCAUUCUCUCUGAGCUGGCUAGCUGCAUUUGGUGUUCUUCAGGCAGCUUACUUCUUUAUCCACUACCUAUUUGCAAGUCAUUUUUUAUCUCGAGACUAGUUCAUAAACAAUUUGUAAUUUUUUCUAUUUGCAUACUACAUCUAUCUUGUAUGAUAUAAAAUUAUAUUCAAAAUUUGUUAAUGUUUCCAAGGUGUUUUUGUCAUGCUUCUCUUA